rnacentral:tRNA from 1 species
AAAUGGAUAGCUCAGUUGGCAGAGCAGAAGCCUGAAAAGCUUUGUGUCGGCGUUCAAUUCCGUCUCUACUCA